rnacentral:tRNA from 1 species
UCCUCGUUAGUAUAGUGGUCAGUAUCCCCGCCUGUCACGCGGGAUGUCAGGGUUCGAUUCCCCGACGGAGAG